AAGCGGCAGAGAGUUCCCUCGGCAUAUAGCCGAUUCAUCAAAGACGAGAUUCAGCGUAUCAAGGCCAACAAUCCGGACAUCACCCACAGGGAGGCUUUCAGCGCAGCUGCCAAGAAUUGGGCUCAUUUUCCACACAUCCAUUUCGGU